CCCGGGCUCCGCACCUGGCUGGCCGCACCUGGCAGCUGGCUGGCCCUGCGCCUCGCGCCUGCGCUCUGCGCCCUCAGGGUCCUCGCUGGGCGUGCGAAGCCCGGCCAUGCUCCGGCCCCAUGCCUCCCGGCUGCCGCCUCCAAGGUGUCGGUUUUGGGUCAUUUAACGGCCGCUGUGGCGCAUGCCCUGAAGACAUUUUCCCACCUAUCUUCCGAACCCUGGGGAGGACCACGACCCUCAGCCCCACAGCAUCCCAGACCCUCGCGCUGCGUUGACCUGCCCCUGCGGCGACUGUUGGAUGCGACCCAGACUGGCGGCCAGACUGCGUGCUCGGCGGCUGUUAGGUCCGUGGCGUCCCGUGUGCGAGGCUCCUCGUGCGCGGAAGAGACGUGA
rnacentral:lncRNA from 1 species